GACGAACGCUGGCGGCGUGCUUAACACAUGCAAGUCGAACGGAAAGGCCCUGCUUUUGUGGGGUGCUCGAGUGGCGAACGGGUGAGUAACACGUGAGUAACCUGCCCUUGACUUUGGGAUAACUUCAGGAAACUGGGGCUAAUACCGGAUAGGAGCUCCUGCUGCAUGGUGGGGGUUGGAAAGUUUCGGCGGUUGGGGAUGGUCUCGCGGCUUAUCAGCUUGUUGGUGGGGUAGUGGCUUACCAAGGCUUUGACGGGUAGCCGGCCUGAGAGGGUGACCGGCCACAUGGGGACUGAGAUACGGCGCAGACGCCUACGGGAGGCAGCAGGGGGGAAUAUUGCACAGUGGGCGGAAGCCUGAUACAGCAACGCCGCGUGCGGGAUGACGGCCUACGGGUUGUAAACCGCUUUCGCAUGUGACGAAGCGUGAGUGACGGUAAUGGGUAAAGAAGCACCGGCUAACUACGUG
rnacentral:rRNA from 1 species